CACAAUUUAUUUUAUAAAUAUUGAAUACAUCUAUUCCAUCCACACAUCAACCAUAAACACGUGCACUAGGGGAAUCGGGGUUAUGAAUGGGAUCUGGACCUGAUGGGAUUUCUGAUAAAAUACGACCAACAUUACCAGGUUGCAAUGAAUGAUGGUGGCUUCGACCAUGACCUCCUAUGAUUUCUUUUGUGUUGUAAUAAAUAUUAUCAGCCAAGACUCUCGAGCCUUGUCUUCCAAAUUUAUCAACUUUUUCAGGUAGCACGAAAUCACCAUUUGCUCUUAGUGUUACUGAGGGAAAGCCAGUUGCACUUGAUUUCCCAUCAUUAAUUAACAAUACCAAUGAGCAACAUUGAUCAAGAGAAGGUAGGAAAGAAUUUUUUGCACCAUUAUCAUUUGUAGCAUGUUAUUCGAAUAUGGUGCUAACUUUGAAAUAUAAUUUAAGUUAGACAUACAGUGGAUGUAUAUAUACAUAUACUAGUAACUAGUAGAAUAUUGUUUCACCUAACACAACCUUUUAAAAAGUUGUCUCCAUAUGAACAUUUAUUCAUUUUAGUCAAAAAAAAUGAAUUUUAUAAAAAUAAAGAUAGAAAAUAAACAUAUAUUUCAUAUUUUUUGUUUUAAUAAAAUCAUUAAAUAAUUAUUGUUUCUUGACAAUAAUUAUACCAUCCAAAAUGAUAAAUUUUAUGAAAAUUAGUAAGGUAUACUAUUGAACCGAAUUUCUAUUAGACCUCCGUGUAAAAUGUGUUGGAAUAUACUAUAUUUAAAUAUUAUUUAAUUCUUUCAUUCUACUAAUUAUUAUGUGGUCAUACUUUUAAAUUAAUUAUUAUGAUUAAGUGAUCAAAUAAAGACAAAAAAAUAAUUAAGAUUAUAUUUUGAAAAUUAAUUAAUUAAUUAUUUAGUUUGAUAUGGAGUCAAAUAUGAGUAUAUCAAUAUUGUCCAUUUUUGAAUAACGUGAAUCCUAACUGAUCAUCACUAUAUAUGUAAGUUAUGGUCCCUAGUAUAUAGUGCUACAAGCGUAUUAUCUUAUUCUCUCUAUCUAAAGAGUGUUGAAGACAUUAUAAGUACCCGUUGAGGGAGAUUCCACCAAAUACUACAAAAUGUAGAUUUCAUAUUUAUCUUAUAAGUAUGUGGAAGCAAUACUUGAAUUUCUUGAAUUCACGGAAAAAAACACUUCCAACAACAAUGGAAUCUUUUAUGGUCCUUAUGUUAUAUGUUGGAAUGUAUUCUUUUUAAAAGAAAGUAAUUUUCAAUCACCUAGGUUGUGAAAAAUUUAUUCUAAAUUAUACAACAUGGAUGUGACAGGCUGAAGUAGAUGAAUUCCAAACUAUGAAGUCACAUAGAUACAAAGUUAAUGUAGAUAUGGAUGAUAGACUAUAAGAUAUGACCAGUGAAAUUGGAGAAUCUUCUUUUCGGAAAGCCCAUAUGUGUGAUACUUUAUUUAGUGAGAAGGAUUAGUUUUUAUUUAAGAGGUUCACAAAUUUUACAUGUAUAUCGACUAUUUUUUAAUAUUUUUGAUUUGAAGGAAAAAAAGAUGAUGGACAGAUAAAAAUUUAAAAUAUAAUUUCUUGAAUUGCUGAAAGAGAUGCUUCUAGAAGGUAGAAAUUUGUCCAAACCACAGUUUUGAAGCCAAGAAUCUAUUGUGUCCAAUUGUUUGGAUUAUGUCAAAAAAUAUGCAUGUUGUAAUUAUUGCAAUUAGAGAGGAAAUAUUAUCAAAAAUUUAACCAAUGCCCAAAAUAAGGGGAGUCGUGCUACAAGUAUAAUGACAACAGUGGUGAUGAAGAUGACGAUGUAAGCAAGAAGCACCCUUUAGCCAAAGUGUCAUGUUCUUGUCAAUAUUAAUUCCAAGGCCCUAGAGAAUGUUUUGUGAUAUUAAGAAAGUGUGAUAGAAAACAUCGCCAGGUUGGAUAUUCUUUAAGGUGGAAGAAAAUUCAAUAAUUGUAUUUAUAUUUUUUCCAUGCUCCAAUUUACAUAAUGGUUGGAUUUGGAAUUGAUUGAAUGAACCCCUUGAUAAUCUAUGCACUUAUCAAUACAUUUUUGAAAAAGAACUAUAACUUUGUAAGGUAUUUUUGUACUUGCAAAAUAUAGAUAUUAUUAUAGAUAUUCCAAACCGAUGCAACGAGAAAUAAAAAGGCUAAUAGUUGAGAAAUAUAAAUACAGAUAACUCAUGAACUCUAUAACUUGAGUUUAUAACAUUUAAUUAUUAACAUUGAACUAGUACAUCAAGUGUAUACAGAAUCUCACAAUUUAUUUUAUAAAUAUUGAAUACAUCUAUUCCAUCCACACAUCAACCAUAAACACGUGCACUAGGGGAAUCGGGGUUAUGAAUGGGAUCUGGACCUGAUGGGAUUUCUGAUAAAAUACAACCAACAUUACCAGGUUGCAAUGAAUGAUGGUGGCUUCGACCAUGACCUCCUAUGAUUUCUUUGGUGUUGUAAUAAAUAUUAUCAGCCAAGACUCUCGAGCCUUGUCUUCCAAAUUUAUCAACUUUUUCAGGUAGCACGAAAUCACCAUUUGCUCUUAGUGUUACUGAGGGAAAGCCAGUUGCACUUGAUUUCCCAUCAUUAA
rnacentral:lncRNA from 1 species